AGUACCGUGAGGGAAAGGUGAAAAGAACCCCGGGAGGGGAGUGAAAGAGAACCUGAAACCCUAUGUUUACAAGCAGUGGGAGCGCAAGCGACCAUGUACUUUUUGUAGAACGGGCCGGCGAGUUACUGUGUGUAGCGAGGUUAAGGUGUAGAGCACCGGAGCCGUAGCGAGAGCGAGUCUCAAAUGGGCGAAUAGUUGCAUACAGUAGACCCGAAACCGGGUGACCUAUCCAUGGACAGGAUGAAGCGGUGGUAAAGCACCGUGGAGGUCCGAACCACACGUAUGUUGAAAAAUGCGGGGAUGAGCUGUGGAUAGCGGAGAAAUUCCAAUCGAACUCGGAGAUAGCUGGUUCUCCCCGAAAUAGCUUUAGGGCUAGCCUCGAUUUAGAUUAUUGGGGGUAGAGCACUGAAUGGGCUAGGGGGCCACAAAGCUUACUGAACCCUAUCAAACUGCGAAUACCAAUUAAUUGAUGAUCGGGAGUCAGACAGUGAGAGAUAAGUUCCAUUGUCGAAAGGGAAACAGCCCAGAUCCACGACUAAGGUCCCAAAAUACACGUUAAGUGGAAAAGGAUGUGCAGUUGCACAGACAACCAGGAUGUUGGCUUAGAAGCAGCCACUCAUUCAAAGAGUGCGUAAUAGCUCACUGGUCGAGUGAAUGUGCGCCGAAAAUAUACCGGGGCUAAACGUGAUACCGAAGUCUGGGGAUCAAGAAAUUGAUCGGUAGGGGAGCAACGCAUACGGACAGAAGCAGAAGCGGGAGCGACUGUGGACUGUAUGGGAGAGAGAAUGCCGGCAUGAGUAGCGAGAGCAAAGUGAGAAUCUUUGCCGUCGAAAGCCUAAGGUUUCCUGAGGAAGGCUCGUCCUCUCAGGGUAAGUCGGGACCUAAGCCGAGGACAAGAGUCGUAGGCGAUGGACAACAGGUUGAUAUUCCUGUACCGUACUUAAGCGUUUGACUGAAGCAGUGACACAGAAGGAUAGACAGACCGGGGGAAUGGUAGACUCCGGCCAAGCAGUGAGGCUGACAUGUAGUGAAGUACGCAUGUUAAGGCUGGGCUGUGAUGGGGACUGAAGACUAGUAGGGAAGCUGUUGAAUUCACACUGGCGAGAAAAGCUGCUAAGGAGCGAGAGUAUGCCCGUACCGCAAACCGACACAGGUAGGCGAGGAGAGAAUCCUAAGACGAGCGGGAGAACCCAUGUUAAGGAACUCGGCAAAAUGACCCUGUAACUUCGGGAUAAAGGGAGCCACGAGAGUGGCCGCAGAGAAUAGGCCCAAGCGACUGUUUACCAAAAACACAGGUCUGUGCGAAGUAGAGAUACGACGUAUACGGGCUGACGCCUGCCCAGUGCCGGAAGGUUAAGGGGAAGUGUUAGGGCAACCGAAGCACGGAACUUAAGCCCCGGUGAACGGCGGCCGUAACUAUAACGGUCCUAAGGUAGCGAAAUUCCUUGUCGGGUAAG
rnacentral:rRNA from 1 species